rnacentral:tRNA from 1 species
UGGUGGAUAUGCAAGUGGGUAAAGCGAUCUAACUGUAAAUUAGGUGUCCAUGUGACUACGUGGGUUCAAAUCCUACUCCACCAA